rnacentral:rRNA from 1 species
GCAAGUCGAGCGGACCUUUUAAAGCUUGCUUUUGAAAGGUCAGCGGCGGACGGGUGAGUAACACGUGGGCAACCUGCCUGUAAGACUGGGAUAACUUCGGGAAACCGGAGCUAAUACCGGAUAAUAUAAGGAACCUCCUGGUUCUUUAUUGAAAGAUGGUUUCGGCUAUCACUUACAGAUGGGCCCGCGGCGCAUUAGCUAGUUGGUGAGGUAACGGCUCACCAAGGCGACGAUGCGUAGCCGACCUGAGAGGGUGAUCGGCCACACUGGGACUGAGACACGGCCCAGACUCCUACGGGAGGCAGCAGUAGGGAAUCUUCCACAAUGGACGAAAGUCUGAUGGAGCAACGCCGCGUGAGCGAUGAAGGCCUUCGGGUCGUAAAGCUCUGUUGUUAGGGAAGAACAAGUGCGAGAGUAACUGCUCGCACCUUGACGGUACCUAACCAGAAAGCCACGGCUAACUACGUGCCAGCAGCCGCGGUAAUACGUAGGUGGCAAGCGUUGUCCGGAAUUAUUGGGCGUAAAGCGCGCGCAGGUGGUCCUUUAAGUCUGAUGUGAAAGCCCACGGCUCAACCGUGGAGGGUCAUUGGAAACUGGGGGACUUGAGUGCAGAAGAGGAAAGUGGAAUUCCAAGUGUAGCGGUGAAAUGCGUAGAGAUUUGGAGGAACACCAGUGGCGAAGGCGACUUUCUGGUCUGUAACUGACACUGAGGCGCGAAAGCGUGGGGAGCAAACA